rnacentral:lncRNA from 1 species
CUGCAAGCGACAUAGUAUCCCGGGUAGCCACAGUAGUCGGCACGGCUGUCGACGCGAAAAGGGUAGCUGAUGUUGAUCUUAGUGCCUCCGCAAGAGUAUGUGUAGGGAGCACAAUCCGCAUACCGAUAGUAGCUCUCCGAGGAAGAAGGUGGAGUCGACGACAGGGCGAGGAGUAAAAGGAUAGAUGGAAGAGGAGACCUUAAGGAUGGAUGCAUUUGGCUCUUGCCACAGAGCUCGGAGGAAGCAGAGGAGGUGGAGGCAUGGAGUUGAGAGUGUCUUUGGGUCUUUAGAAGUUGGGAGGAAAUUGAUGAGGUUCGGAUUUAUUUGUCUGUUGCAUGACGAUGAGAUCAAAUAGCUUGCUUGUAUACAUACAUCGUGGACUAAGUCUUCGAAUACGGUAGUCGAUGAUUCAUGACACUACCUACAUAUGCUUGUGGGGUGUUGAGAUUAGAUACUAAUAUUUAGUUUGGCCAAAGUCAAAGGUCGCGUUUUGGAAGAGUCGUUCCGGAGCCAUUUUUUCCUACGCAUAAAUGGCCUUCUCUUUCAGUCUACCGGAGAAAAUGGAUUCCUCUGCUUUUUCCAUGAGAUUGACUACAUUCAACCACGUAUCACAUCCAAGUAAGUGUUGGGAGGGAGAGAAACUUUGGGAAAAAGAAAACAAAUUGACAAUGACAAACAAUAAAAAAUAUAUAAAAAAACUGAUGUAAAAUUAGUGUGAAUGAUUUGUCCAAUUAGACUAUCUUCAAUUAGCUGAGCUACUGCAUGCCGGCAGAAACCCAGCAAGGAAACACUGAAAUUGAUCGAGCAGUGGCAGUAGAAAAGAGCGAGUAAAUACGAAGAUAUACUGACUGACAUACUUGCACAAUGGGAAUGGAAUGUCUUUACUCCAUUCGAGCAGAAGCAGGCGAAAUCCCAGGUGGAGUUGAUCGUCCGGUUGAGCCCACACCGCCCGCCGGAGCGCUCGCAGCUGCCGCAGUCGCCGGAGGUCACGUUUGGCCAGCUCAAAUUGAAUCCACUCUGCAAAACCCCUCCGUAUCGGGUAGGUAAGUCGUCUGCAAUAUAAGCCAUCAGCACGUCCUGCAGGACGGGCACGACGACGACGGCGCAGCACGUCCGAGGAAGACGGUGAUAAGACUCCCUCAUCGUUUCGGUCGUGAAGACAUAGGACCGGUUUCCACCAGCAGAGCCGAGGCAGGGGAUGUGGAGAUCCGGUGGGCCGUCGGUGCAGUCGAAGAAGAAGGUGAGGUUGGCGUCGGAGGGAGCGUAGCGCAGAACUGAGUCGGGAUCGAAGGUGAGGUUGUGAAGCACUCGAGGGCACCCUUCACGGACGGAGACGAUGUCGGUGUCGACGAGGGAGAUGGUAUGGGUUUUGUAGUCGAUGUUGGUGACUGUGUAGUUGCCGGCGGAAAGGUGGAUGAUCGGGGUGUUGUUCCGGCAAAUCAGCUCGAAGCCUCGGUAACCGCAGUGGGAGCGGAGGGAAGUGGAGUCGUCAUGGACGAGCCAGAAUGGGUAGGUGAUGUUGGUGAUGUUGCCACAGCUUGAUAUGGCUUCGCCGCAGGCAACGUUGGAAGGAUGGCUGAUGGCGGGAACGGAGAAAAGGAGGAGAAGAAAGAAAAAGGCGGAGAUGGGAGGAGGAGGUGUGGGGAAUUUGGAGUUCAUAUUUGGGUUGGGGAAGGACGGAAGGGGGCGGUAGUGGUAAGAAGACCUUACCACUGUUGGGUUUUGCAUGACUUGCUUUCGAGUGCUCUGAGUAGAUGGAACGAAGAAUGGAUCUUUCUUUGCUUAAUUUUCUCGUUCCUUGGAUUUUAUCUUGAGAGCGUCUUGCUUGAAUGGAGAUAGGGACGGUGAGAUGCUGAGGCUUUGCCGUGCAGUAGAAGACGAUGGUGAUGGGAGAAAGACUUCAUGCCUGAGCUCUUUCUUGGAUCCAUUCAAGGUGUAAGAACAGCCCUCGGAUCAUCAGCAUCAUUUCUACUGUGGAGUUAUUUAAAUAUGUUCAUGAAUUUUAAAAAUAAAAAAAUUUAAAAAUGUCUUAAAAAUAUGGCUCUCCUAAAUCUUAAAUAAUGUAGAAAUAUGAAACCAUAUCGAAAUAUCAUGUAUCCUCUAUCGAAUGACAUAUCCAUAUGAAACUACAUAGUCACCAACAUCGACUACAAAACUCAUACUAACAUCGACAUUGAAAUUGUCUUCGUUCAUGAAGAGUACAUUUGAGUAUAUCACAAUCUUAUUUGUUUGUGAAGAUUAUAAAAUAUUUUUAUAUUUGAUGAUAUUUUGUAUGAAUCUUAUAUUAAAAAAUUUAUUUUUAUCACUUAAAUAAAAUAAUAUUUUUAUUGAGUUUUUUUUAAAACUUAUUUCUUAUGAAAGAUUUGAGCAUGAGAGCAUCGUUGGUCAGAAACCAAAAUAAAAAUACCAUCAACAAGUGAUUGUUAGUUUACAAAAUGCUUAGUCAAUUGCUUUUGCUUCAAUUGUUAUUCUAAUCGAUAUGUGACAUAUUGAUUUGGUCACCCAUCAUCCUUUAUUUAAUAAUAGUUAUUUUUUUAUUACUCUAUUUUAAAUUAUAAAUAAAAUAGAAUUAUAAUUCAUUAUAAUACUUGUCUUAGUAAUUGAAGUCACAAAUUAUCUUUUGAAAUAUCUUUCAUAUUCAAUUUCAAACCACUUAAAAUCAUUCAUAUUCAUGUUUGGGCCAUAUUCCAACCCUAACUAAAUGACACUAUCGAAUUAAAGUACCGAUACAUAGUUGAGAUUCAGUCUCACACUCCUACACUAAAUCUUUAUGUUACUAAUCUUUUGGUUAGUAGCUUUUCAAAUUAUAGUUUAUCUUAUUAAUCAUAUACUCACCUUAAUUCUAUAAUAUCAGUCAUUAUUUUAAUAACUAUAUUAUAAAACCUCGAACUUUAAAAAAAUUUAAAGUAUUUGGUUGUUUAUAUUAUCCAUAGUAAUACAUCUAUACUUCACAUAGGUUAAUACCGAGAUCUAAGCUUUACAUAUUUAUUAGGUAUUCUCUUGAACAUAAUGUUUUUUGGUAUAUGAUCAUUAAAUUCAAAACUCUUUAUAUCACUUCAUAUUAUUUUUUUUGAGUCUACCUUUCCCUUCCAAAUUCAAAAGUCAAUGCAAGCCACUAUAAUAAUCAUCCAUCACUAGGUUUAUAUUAUAUUAGUAAAUCUCAAACCCUCUCAAAAGCACUUUUUAUCACAUCAACUAGUAAUUCUCUUCUAGACUCUGUACUCCUUUAUUACUCUAGUUUAAAAAUACCUCACCACAUCAAUAAUUCAAAUAACCGAUGAAAUAACGCCCUAGGCACCACAAAUGAUAUCCUUGUCAUCUCUUCCGCCAAGUGACAUCAAAUUGCAUCAAACUGAUCAAAUACAUGUCACUAACUCUUCACCAAUUCUUAUACCUUCAAUACAACUUAAUAAUUCUACCGAGCUUGGACAUCAUAUAAUAACAUGCUCCAAAAAUAAUAUCUUUAAACUACGUCAAAUUCUUGAUUUUUAUGCAACUACAAGCUCUUCACCUGUGCCUACUAAACCUACAAUCUGUUGAAAAGAAUAAAAGAUAAAAAGAAUUAUUGAAGAAGCUUUAUUGAAGAAAUGAAGAAGCUUGAAUACAUUAACAUGUGAGGGAGGAUUUUCCUCAACAUAAUAAAGGAUUUCCCUCAACAGAGUAGAAAGAUUUCCUCAUAUAGUUGAGGAAAUCUUAUCUGUUAUCACAAUCGUCUCCUAAGCCCAAAAAUAUUUACACUAGUGUAUAGUCAUGAGUGAUAAAUAUGAUGCCCUGCUUUAUAAUACCAUGUGGACCCUUAUACCAUUUCACCUUACAUAAAAUAUCAUCGGAUAUAAGUGAAUCUUUUGAAUUAAGUAAAACUCAAAUUAAUCCAUUGUUACAUACAAAGCACGUUUGGUAGCCAAGUGGUUUCACCGGUAACUAAGUGUUUAUUUCACAAAGACAUUUGGUUUAGUUGUUAAAUCAAUGAUAAUUUGACUCAUCCUGACUAUCACUUAAGGCUAGCAUAUACAUUAAUUAGAUAUUAACAAUACUUUCUUAUAGGGCAUCAUAACUGAAAAUAUAUUUUAUGCAUUAACCCCUUGACUUCAUCCACCCUUAGUAUCUAAACCAUAUUUGUAAGCUACGAAAAACUAUUUAUGGAUUUUGUCAAGCAUUAAGAGCCUGUCAAUUAUAUCGAACUUGGCUUGAUACUUCUUUAUUUCUACAACAAUAAAAAGAAUAUACUAUAUAUCAAUUAAUCUAUGUGGAUAAUAUCAUCAUCACAAUCAAUAAAAUCAUGAAGAUUAAGUAAUUCCUUAAGCAAUUGAGAGAUUGAUUCUCCAUCAAAUACCUAGAAACCUUAAGCUACUUUUUGUGAGUGAAAGCAAUAUUCGUAUCUUUUGAACUUUUUUUAUCUCAGAAGAAGUGUUGAGUUACUUAAAUUAUAUGAUAGUAACUUUACUAUUGAUCCCAGUAUCGAUAAGUACUUGGUUCCCUGAAAUAUUUACCUCUCAUAUGUUCAGAUAUUUUAUUUUUCUCUUUUAUAAACACUUAUCACUUAAUCUCUAUAUCUUGGACAAAACUGAUUAGGCAAGUAUUACUAAUGAUAGAGCAUCUAUAUCAAUGUAAAUUAUCUUUCAUGGAGUAAAUUUGAUCAAUUGAAGUUCCAAAAAAUAAAACAUAGUUCCAAGAUCCAUAGUCCAAGCUAAAUACUAAGCCAUCACACCCACCACUAUAGAAUUCAAUUGGAUUACUAAUCUACUAUAUCAACUUAAUAUCACCUCCCAAUCCACUCUAAUAAUAUACUAUGAUAAUAUCGAUGUCAUUGACUUUCAUUGUUUUGCUCAUAUAUGAAAUAUAUUAUCAUUGACUUUCACUUUGUUAGACAUCAAAUAUAUUAUCCAUACUUUUGAUCAAUUAGCAGACUCUCUCACAAAAUCUCUCACUUACAGGAUAUUUUAGUUUCAUCGGUUAAAGAUUAACAUCUUAAACAAAAACUCAAUCCCGUGCGAGGAUAUAAAUAAAUAUGAAAUGAUAAUUUUAUAUUCGUUAUAUAUUAUAAUCCUCAAUUAAUCUAUGAUUUGAGAAUUAAUCAUAGAUUUAAGUACAUAAUUAAAUGUAUGAUUUUAGUAUAUGAUUGAAAAAAAUUUCUCUCUCAACUUAUGUAAAUAAGUAUUAUCUCGAUAAGAAAAAUAAUCUGUUUCAUAACAAAUUCUUGAUCGAUCUGUUCAAUUUGCAAGUGAGAGCACAUCAUGGCGUUCGUGGCAUUUGCAAGUCUGCAGCGCUCCCCUUCAACAUCUCCACCACCUUGCUCAUGGAAGGGCGGUUCUCAGGCAUCAUCUGUAUGCACCAUAACCCAACUAUCAUCAUCUUUCUCGCGAUCUCUCUGGUCUCUGUGGUCACACCGGCAACGCCUACAUUGCAGUAUCGAUCAAGAUCAUCAUAGAGACAGCGUGGGAAAUAGACUUCACUGGUGUACUCAUUGGUUGCACCGAUGCUUCUCCUUCCUCCAGCCAUCUCCAGCAGCAGCAUCCCGUAACUAAAGACAUCAGACUUACUGGAGACGACGCCGAACCCCCUGGAGAACACUUCUGGGGCGAUAUACCCAACCGUUCCUCUCGCAUCCGCCAUGGAAAUCACGCUCACCUUCGGAGGGCACAACUUAGCCAGUCCGAAAUCGGAGAUCUUGGGGCAAAAGUCUUGGUCGAGAAGGAUGUUGUGCGGCUUGAUGUCGAAGUGAACGAUGCGAGUACUACAGCCGCCGUGCAGGUACUCCAACCCUCGAGCGACGCCGAGUGCGAUCUCGUACAGCUUCUCGCAACCGAACCGUGGUUCCUCCGUCGAUUUGUCGGAGCAGAUGAACUUCUCCAGCGAUCCAUUGGGCAUGAAAUCGUAGACGAGAGCUCGCUUUGAUCCCUCCAAGCAGAAGCCGAGGAGGCCGACGAUGUUGACGUGGGAUGUGCGGCUGAUGCUAGCGACCUCGUUGAUGAAUUCUUCUCCUCCAUGGCCUUUGGUUGCUUUCAGUACCUUCACGGCGACCAAACGGCCGUCUUGGAGCGCGCCCUUGAACACAGAACCGUAGCCACCUUGGCCAAGCUUGUCAUUGAAGGAUUUGGUCAUCCUCUUUAUUUCCGAGUACCUGUACCGCUUGGGGGUCAGGCUUCCACAUUGAUGGAGAAUGCCUUCAACACUCUUCGCAUUGUUCCCACAGGACUGUCUCCGACAUGGAAUACAGCAAUUCUGACGGUCAAAAGCUUCAACAUCGUGCGACUUUCUACAACGUCGAGUGUAGAUCAUGAGGAAUACGCACAGCAAGGAUAAGCCUCCAACGACACUCCCUAUAUAAAAAAUAAAAAAGAGAAUAAAAAAAAUCACACGAAGAAAAAUAUAUUUCUAUGCUUAAUAUUUGUUUCUUUUCUAAAUGAUGAAAAUAUUCAGGUAAGUGAAAUAGAGAAAAUGAAAAGAACUGAUAAUGAUUUACCUAUUAUGAUCCCCAUUAGUUUUUUAGUCUUCGGAUGAGGAUGAGCAACAAUUGCUGCAGCUUGGAAAAAAGACAGUUUUAUUGAGAAUUAAAACCUUGAUCCAGAAAGAUGUAAACAUAAAUGUAAAGAAAUAAUCACACACAAGGUAGAUUAAAUUUGACAGAACAUAUUUUUCAUAUACUAAAAUAUAUUAUUAUUUUUGAAUGUUUGAGAUUUGUAGUGUCUAUUUACCUUCAAUCUGAAAGAUCAAGUCAUGUUUGAGCUCGGAAUGUUAAUUAUAUAUUAUCUCAUUUAAUUAGUUAUCUUUAGUAUUUCGAUCUCUAUAAUUUUAAAAAUUAUGUUGAAAUAUAUGUAUUUAUAAAAAUAAAAAUAUUGAGAUCCUUAUAGAAAUUAAAAAGAUAAUUUUUAAAAAAUAUAAAAACCUUUUAAAAAUAUAAGAAUCGAAAUAUUAAAAAUAAUUAAUUAUAAGAACGCGAACCUGAACAUGUUCCAACGGUUGAACCAUACGGGCAGAAGCAGGUGUGGCUGUUCGGAGAGAGCGCGUCAAAGCCGCAGCGCCCACCAGAAUUGAAGCAGUCACAACACCACUCCUCCCCUGCCUUCCAAUGCAGCGAGAACCCCCCCUUCACUGCGUCGCUAAAGCUCAGCUUCCCGUACCGGAUCUCGUCCGACGCUGCUUGGUGCAUGGGCACCACUACCAUUGAGCUGCAGUUCCCAAACAUCUCCAUGUGGGUCUCACCGGGAAGCUGGUAAUACCCGUGACGACCCCCGGCGCCGCCGCCCGGCGCGCAACCUAUGUCAUGCAUGUCGGGAAUCGGAGGUGAGAGGGCGGUGCAAUUGACGAACACCGUGACGUUCCGGUCCCGGUCGCUGUAGCUGUACAGCGAGAUGUCGAUGCUGGUGUUUUGGUACGGCUGAGGGCACGACUGCUUGACGAAGGGUGGAUCGACGACGGUGAUGAGGCGGUUGAAGUAAUCUAUAUCCUUGACGACGCAUCCCUUGCCGUCGAUCUCGAUCGUCACGGAAGUAUUGUCCUCGCUGCAAGCGACAUAGUAUCCCGAGUAGCCACAGUUGUCGGCACGGCCGUCGACGCGAAAAGGGUAGCUGAUGUUGAUCCUAGUGCCUCCGCAAGAGUACGUGUAGGGAGCACAAGCCGCAUACCGAUAGUAGCUCUCUGAGGAAGAAGGUGGAGUCGAUGACAGGGCGAGGAGUAAAAGGAUAGAUGGAAGAGGAGACCUUAAGCCUGGAUGCAUUUGGCUCUUGCCACACAGCUUGGAGGAAGCAAGAGGAGGU